GAGUGUCUCUGCUUCCACACCCCGGCCUGCCUCUCUGCUAAGUCAUUAAUUAUCUAUAAACACACCCAGAGGAGGGCUCCGGCCUCCAAGGGAAACACUCUGCUGAGUCAAGCGUUGGCUGGAAGGAGCGAGUGACGGCACUUGCUCUGACUCCGAGUCUUGCUGUUGACCCAGAGCACAGUGGGCACUGGACCCGCCAGCUGGGCAUCCUUCCAGCCUCAGUUUCCUCAGCUGUUGCGGGGGGUGGCGACAGCGCCCAACGCAGGGGCCAUCGUGAGGAUGCAGGGACGCGAGGCAGUGUGUGUUUGGCACCUGGCUCAGUGUCCGGCAGUUGCUGAGCCGUCGGUGCCGCUGCUGCUGCUGGGAGCCCUCUGGCAGUUACUCUUCUGCUGUCUCAGAGGAAGGUGCCUGUGCCGACGGCUAAGGGGCUGGAUGCAGGGUCUCAACUCAAGUGCCUUCAGAAUCCAGGUCUCUGAACUCCUGUCCGUCCCUGGAGCCAGCAGACACAGCCAAGCCGUCCGGCAGCUGCCCCUGAGGCCCUGAGCCCCUUGAGGCAGGCAGCUGCCAGGACAUCCUGGAGGUGGCACAGGGAAGGCCACUGGCACGUCCUGCUCAGAACAGACUUGGCUGCUGCCCACAGAGCCCCCCGAGGGACCUCCAGGCCUGGGGCAGAGCAGAUGCUCCUCCCCAGCUUGUCACCUCCACUCCUGAACACGUGUCCUGGGGCCCCCACUUUCACGGAAGUGUGCGAGGCCCAGGACCCUGCGUCAGGAGACCCAGGCCUGAUUCUGCCCCUCUGGCCACGAGACCUCAGCAAGCUCCGUCCCCUCGGCUCUGCCCCCCACAGGUAGAACGGGGGUGCUGCCCCUCUCUUCCCAGACCUUGAGAGCAGGGAUGUCCCCAACCCAGGGAAGGCACUGCAGACGCGGGAAGCUCCUUUCUUCAGUGGGCACGGGCGGAGGUGGCAGCGUGGCUGUCCCAGGACAGUGGCCCUGACAUGGGCUGCCCUCCCGCUGCUGAGACCACUUGCACUUGUGGCCAUCUCAGACUGCCUGGGGAGCAGCACAGUCGGGGCCCCUCAGGCUGGGCUGGACCCUUCCUGCUGGACCUUCCAGGCCACCUUCUGGGGGCCUGAGUUCCCACAAACAGGCUAGAAACGGUGGUAGUGUGAGCCCCACUCCCCUAGCAACUCAACAAUGCCAUCCGGCCAUGGGACCAGGGAUAGCCGCAUGGUUCCUGUGGGGGGCAUGGGGUCUCUCUGGGGCCUGAGCUGGCUGAGGCCCAGCAGAGGAGGCCCCCACAUCUCUCUCAAAAGCCAGCAGCAUGGCUACAGGGCCAGAGACCAAGGGACGGUCCUGGAGGCCAGGGGCCAUUUCCUGCAUGAGUUUGUACAGGACCGCCUGUGAAACCCACGUGCCCACACGGGACCUCGUUCCUGUGGCAAGGCCCUGGGGCCCUGCCUGCCCUACUCACUCACGCCAUUUUCACGCCCCCCUCCUGCUCAGGAGGGACCUCCGCAGGGAAGGUGGGCCCCCAACAUCCACAGCCUGACUGAAUCUGGGGGGCAUCCACACCACCGCCAUUUCCAGCCUGCAAUGGGGGGAGCUCAGGUCCCAGGCCCAGGGGCUGAUCCAGAGAGCACAGGCUCCCUCUGCCAAGCAACUGGAUUUGCAAAUCAGCAUAUUGCUCCGGAAGGGGGCAGGGCUCUUGUCCUCAGACGUCCUCCAACCAGCACCGGGCACUCGAGAUUCCUGAGGCCACUUGGCACACCCCAGUCAGCUCAGGGACCAUUGACAAACCAGGGGCUGCCGACCCCAUCCUCAGUGGGUCACCCUGGGCAGACAGGCCUCUCGUGGGGGCUCUGCUGCAGGGACAGCUGGGAUGGAGCUGCACUUGGCACCUCUGGGUACCCAGGCACUUCGGUGAGGAAGCCAGCCCCCAGGCUCCAGGGCUCUAGCCGAGCUGGGCAGGUGAGCGAGGGCAGCCUGAGACCAGAGGCCCCAGGGGCAGGGCUUAGAGGGAGAGGAGAUGCGGGAGCCCCAGGGAGAAAGAGGAGGACUCUGAGUGGUGGAGAUGCUCCCAAACCAGCUCCCGAGGGCCCCACUGGACCCCCAAGGGCCACACCCUCCCCGCAGAGCCCCAUCAUCCUCUGUCUCCGUUGUCACUGCUGCUCGUUCUGUCCCAGGUUCAUGGACGCAGUGAGGUCCAGUGGGCCCUCAGGCUCUUGGUCUCAGUCCCCUCCUGGAGGGGACGCUGGGCAUUCGGCCUCUGCACAGGGAGCUGGGGGCCAGGACGGGGUGAGGAGGAGAUGCAGCUUGGUGACUAGGUUCUGUUGAUUAGCAUGCUGAUUCAGACCCAGCUGGAUGUGUCCCUGACCCCAGCACGGGUGCCUGUCGCCAGCAUGGAAAUACCAUCCUGCCAGGAGGCAGGGGGCUCCAUGCACCUGCCUUUGGGUUUCUGAGCCCAUCCAUGGCCUCAUUUUGGGGGGGGAGGGAGGAGAUGGGAGGGUGCUCAUUUGCGGCAUGGAGGACUUUUCAAUUUCCGGCAUGUCUACCA
rnacentral:lncRNA from 1 species